UGGGGCUCAGGAUGAAGUUCUUGCCUAGGGGAACCUGGUUUCUUCAGGAACCACCCCAAAGCGAGGGGAAGGUGAGGACAUCUCCCUGCAGGUGGCUGACUGCAGAGCGGCAUGAAGAAGGUUGUGGCUUACACCCCAUGCUGCCAAAACUGCUACAGCCAAUGUGCUCAUGAACAAAAGGGCACUGAGAAGCCGGUGUCUUGUCUUAUAUGCCUUCCUGUGUAGAACUCAGAACCCCAAAGAAAACUGAGUGCAAAGGUAGCAUCAAAAUCUUGAAGAAGACGGAUGGAGAGACGGAAUGAAAUGUUGGCCGGGGUGAGGUGAACUAUGUGCUGUAAUUCAUUCCUGAGGAAAGGACACCUGCUCCACCCUUCUGCAGAGAACUGCGAGCUUAGACUAUUUCUACUGCCUGUUCUAGUAAUUGUAUAUUUUUGGGAAAUGACCUAAGGAAAUGCUGGAAAUACUGAUACAAUCUACGUAUGAAACUAUUGACCAACACCUGCUUUAUAGCAACAAAUGUUUGGAAACAUCUACAGGAAAACCCUCGGGAACGGGUGAAUAAUCACUCUAUGUCCAUAUGA